UUGGACGGAUCCGCCGUU
rnacentral:snRNA from 1 species